rnacentral:rRNA from 1 species
GUGUUAGAGAAGAAAGUGCGUGAGAGUAACUGUUCACGUUUCGACGGUAUCUAACCAGAAAGCCACGGCUAACUACGUGCCAGCAGCCGCGGUAAUACGUAGGUGGCAAGCGUUAUCCGGAUUUAUUGGGCGUAAAGGGAACGCAGGCGGUCUUUUAAGUCUGAUGUGAAAGCCUUCGGCUUAACCGGAGUAGUGCAUUGGAAACUGGGAGACUUGAGUGCAGAAGAGGAGAGUGGAACUCCAUGUGUAGCGGUGAAAUGCGUAGAUAUAUGGAAGAACACCAGUGGCGAAAGCGGCUCUCUGGUCUGUAACUGACGCUGAGGUUCGAAAGCGUGGGUAGCAAACAGGAUUAGAUACCCUGGUAGUCCACGCCGUAAACGAUGAAUGCUAAGUGU